rnacentral:rRNA from 1 species
ACGUAGGAGGCGAGCGUUAUCCGGAUUUACUGGGUGUAAAGCGCGUGCAGGCGGUUCUGCAAGUGGGACGUGAAAGCGCCCGGCUCAACCGGGCGAGGACGUACCGAACUGCGGGACUAGAGGCAGGGAGAGGCGUGUGGAAUUCCGGGUGUAGUGGUGAAAUGCGUAGAGAUCCGGAGGAACACCAGAGGCGAAGGCGACACCCUGGGCCGUACCUGACGCUAAGACGCGACAGCACGGGGAGCGAACGG